UACGUAGGGAGCAAGCGUUGUCCGGAAUCAUUGGGCGUAAAGCGCGCGUAGGUGGCCCCAUAAGUCCGCUGUGAAAGUCAAAGGCUCAACCUUUGAAAGCCGGUGGAUACUGUGGGACUAGAGUACGGAAGAGGCGAGUGGAAUUCCUGGUGUAGCGGUGGAAUGCGUAGAUAUCGGGAGGAACACCAGUGGCGAAGGCGGCUACCUGGACCAGCACUGACACUGAGGCACGAAAGCGUGGGGAGCAAACAGG
rnacentral:rRNA from 1 species